AGGGUUUGAUUCUGGCUCAGGACGAACGCUGGCGGCGUGCCUAAUACAUGCAAGUAGAACGCUGAAGGAGGAGCUUGCUUCUCUGGAUGAGUUGCGAACGGGUGAGUAACGCGUAGGUAACCUGCCUGGUAGCGGGGGAUAACUAUUGGAAACGAUAGCUAAUACCGCAUAAGAGUAGAUGUUGCAUGACAUUUGCUUAAAAGGUGCAAUUGCAUCACUACCAGAUGGACCUGCGUUGUAUUAGCUAGUUGGUGAGGUAACGGCUCACCAAGGCAACGAUACAUAGCCGACCUGAGAGGGUGAUCGGCCACACUGGGACUGAGACACGGCCCAG
rnacentral:rRNA from 1 species